CCUACGGGAGGCAGCAGUGGGGAAUUUUGGACAAUGGGCGCAAGCCUGAUCCAGCUAUUCCGCGUGUGGGAAGACGGCCUUCGGGUUGUAAACCACUUUUGUAGAGAACGAAAAGUCUAUUGAUAAUACCGAUAGACGAUGACGGUACUCUAAGAAUAAGCAUCGGCUAAUUACGUGCCAGCAGCCGCGGCAAAACGUAGGGUGCGAGCGUUAAUCGGAAUUAUUGGGGGUAAAGGGUGGGUAGGUGGUUUUGCAAGUUGGAUGUGAAAGCCCCGGGCUGAACCUGGGAAAUGUAUACAUGACUGGAAGACUAGAGUGCGGCAGAGGGAGGUGGAAUUCGAGGUGUAGCAGUGAAAUGCGUAGAUAUUUGGAAGAACGCCGAUUGCGAAGGCAGCCGCCUGGGACGCAACUGACGCUGAUGCACGAAAGCGUGGGGAGCAAACAGGAUUAGAUACCCUUGUAGUC
rnacentral:rRNA from 1 species